ACAAUUAUAUGUUUUUUCUUUUCCUGAACAAGACAUGAGCAGAGCAAUCAGAAGAACAGCAAAAGCAUGAAUGGAUGAUCUCUAUCAUUUUCUCUCUCUCAAGUCUCACCCUCUUCCAUUUUAACCAAUUAAUUCUCUGUAUUUUGUUGGAUGCUUCUCAAAGAUUGAAUCUUGAGUACAGAAUCAAAGAAAAUAUAUGAUGGGCUCAAAGUUUCCGAUGACCCAAAUGGGGACAUCACCUAGAUACACGAUUUCUGCGCACAGAGGUUUUUUUACAUACAAGUAUUCAAGAAGAGUAUUCUCAGAGCAAAAGUUUCCGUUCAAGUUUGUGCCACAGUCUUUGGGGGAUAAAUGGAAGCUAAAUGACAUAAGUACCGGUUCUAUUCAAGAAAGAUUGAAUGUAUUGAUGUCAAGGACCCAAAAUUUUUUGAAUGAAGUGACUUUUCCCCGUGCAAAACCUGGUCAAAGUAAGAAGCCUGGUCCUGUAGAUGAUUUUGGAUUUCAAUUCAUGGAAGACAUAUUUAUGAUAGAGCAGACAAUUGACCGCAGAACGCCAAGUGGGGUUCUUUCUCUAGCCGCUGUAAUUUGUAUUGAACAAUUCAGCAGGGGAUUGUGGAGGAAUGGACCCACAACAUCAAGCACGCCCACCUCUGAUCUUAACAGGGAGGGCUGUUGCCAUAUAUGCAGGAUGAAUGGAUUGACUGGGAAGAAAAUGCAGAAAAUAUUUGGAGCUCUAGUGCCUGAAUCUGUAUAUAAUGAUGCCCGUAAUUUGGUUGAAUAUUGCUGCUUUAGAUUUUUGUCUAGGGAUGGUUCUGCUAUUCAUCCUUCCCUCCAGGACCCUGCCUUCCAGAGGUUGAUAUUCAUAACCAUGGUUGCCUGGGACAAUCCUUAUACCGACAACCUUUCCAGCAAUGCAGAGAAGACUUCUUUACAGAAUAAACUUGUCACGGAGGAGGCUUUUAUUCGUAUUGCUCCUGCAAUCUCUGGUGUGGUUGACCAUCCCACAGUGCACAAUCUUUUCAAGGCUCUUGCUGGCAAUCAAGAGGGCAUUUCUGUGAGCUCAUGGCUGAAUUACAUUAAUGAGUUUAUCAAAGUGCGUCAAAAACAGAUAUCGCAUCAGAUUCCAGAGUUUCCUCAACUGUCUCAGGAGAGAAUUUUAUGCACUAGUUCCAACAGUAAGCGACCUGUUUUGAAAUGGGAGAAUAAUAUGGCCUGGCCUGGCAAACUUACUCUAACAGAUAAAGCAAUCUAUUUUGAGACAGUUAGCAUACUGGGGGAGAAGAGAGCCAUGAGAUUGGAUCUUACAAGUAAUGGUUUACAAGUAGAGAAGGCAAAGGUUGGGCCGUUAGGAUCUUCACUUUUUGACUCUGCUGUUUCUGUUUCCUCUGGCUCAGAAACAAAGUGGGUGCUGGAAUUCAUUGAUUUAGGAGGUGAGAUGAGGAGGGAUGUUUGGCAUGCACUUAUAAAUGAAGUCAUCGCUCUACACAGGUUCAUACGUGAGUAUGGACCUGAUGAGUAUGAUGAGUCACUUUUUAAUGUAUAUGGAGCUCGCAAAGGAAGUGAUAGGGCAACAACCUCUGCUAUUAAUGGUAUUGCUAGACUCCAAGCCCUUCAAUAUUUGCGGAAGUUGCUUGACAAUCCCACCAAACUAGUUCAGUUCUCAUAUUUACAGAAUGCACCACAUGGUGACAUUGUCCUCCAAACUUUAGCUGUUAAUUACUGGGGAGGUCCACUAAUUACAGGAUAUGUAAAUACCCGCAAUCAGUCAGAAACUCGACCUUCUGAUGAAAUAGCUGAUAGCCGCAACCAUGUAUUUGACAUAGAUGGAAGUAUCUACUUGCAGAAGUGGAUGAAAUCUCCAUCUUGGGGUUCAAGUACUUCCAGUAACUUUUGGAAGAACAUUUCAGUAAAAGGUUUAAUAUUGAGUAAGAAUCUUGUUGUGGCUGAUUUAUCAUUCACAGAAAGAGCAGCAAAAAUAAGCAGACUAAAGUACCACGUUGUGGAGAAGACUCAAGCCACCAUUGAUGCUGCAACUCUACAAGGCAUACCCAGCAACAUUGAUCUUUUCAAGGAGCUAAUGUUUCCUUUCGCCUUGAUUGUGAAAAACUUUGAAAAGCUUAGGCAUUGGGAGGAGCCACACUUGACUGUUGCAUUUCUUGGACUCACCUAUACUAUACUUUAUAGAAAUCUGGUGUCGUAUGUGUUUCCCAUGAUGCUGAUGAUUUUGGCAGUUGGCAUGCUCACAAUCAGGGCCCUUAAAGAGCAAGGCCGCCUAGGACGAUCUUUUGGUGAAGUCACAAUACGUGAUCAGCCCCCAUCCAAUACUAUACAAAAGAUUAUUGCUGUAAAAGAUGCCAUGCGUGAUGUUGAGGAUUUUAUGCAGCAAGUGAAUGUCUCUCUCCUCAAAAUACGUUCCAUUUUACUUUCUGGCCAUCCACAGAUUACUACUGAGAUUGCAAUGGUAUUGAUAUCUUCUGCAACCAUACUCCUCAUUGUCCCGUUCAAGUACAUCUUUUCCUUUCUUCUCUUGGAUAUGUUCACAAGGGAGCUUGAGUUUCGGAGAGAAAUGGCUCAGAAGUUCAUUAGAUUUUUGAGAGAACGGUGGCAUGCGGUGCCUGCUGCCCCCGUCUCAAUUUUACCAUUCCAAAAUGAAGAAGCCAGAUCAGAAAUUUACUUGAAAGAAAUUGAGGACCAAUCAAAAUCACAAGGAAAUCAGAGCAGUGGAAAGUCCAGGCAAAUUGAAGCCAUCUACAAGGCUAACAUCAUAGAAAUCAGGUUCACCAAGGGUAAAGUCAGCAAUUGUGGCAGGUGGGGUUCCUGGACCUGUACAGUUAAUGUUGGUACCACAAGCACCUGUUUCACAAUUGCCAUUGCCAUUCUUGUCAAAGUUGCAGCCUGUUCUAGCCCAUAUUCUUCCACUCCAUCCAACAGCAGCUGUGUGCACUUUUGAUUGGCCAGGAUUUAAUGCAUCUCCACUGAAGUUAUCACUUCCUGUCAUCGCAGGCCAUAUUGUCUCCUUGCAGUAAUUUACUAUAGUUAAAGUCUUACUGCUUCCACAGGUUUCAGGUUGACCAAAGAUAGAGAUUAUAAAAGUGAAGAAAUUACCAGAUGAAAUAACAGCAAAGAUGAAAAGAAGUGCACUGUGAUGAUUAGCCAUAUAUCCACUGAUACAGUUUAUUACAUUACAUUGUCUCCAAUUGUCGACGUGCAUGAAAUGAGAGAUUGUGAGCUAUUUAUGAGUAAGCUCAAUGAAAGGAGUUGAAGAAUACGUGAAGAAGAGAGUGAAUCUAUUAGUACUGACAGCUCUAAAAGCUUUCCUUCCUUGCUUAAGGCCAAAAUUUCAGAGGAUACCUUGCUCACCAUUGUCAUACUCAUUACGUCCUUCUAUUCAUUAAAUUUGUUAUGCACUUUUUCACUUUUCCAACUUCUUUUUAUGUUGUCUUGUUUUUAAGACUUCAUCCUUGUACUGAGCUGUAAAACCUUGAACUGUGAUAAGGAUUGAACAA